UACGAAGGGGGCUAGCGUUGCUCGGAAUGACUGGGCGUAAAGGGCGCGUAGGCGGUUUGGACAGUCAUAUGUGAAAUUCCUGGGCUCAACCUGGGGGCUGCAUUUGAUACGUUCGGACUAGAGUGGGGAAGAGGGUCGUGGAAUUCCCAGUGUAGAGGUGAAAUUCGUAGAUAUUGGGAAGAACACCGGUGGCGAAGGCGGCGACCUGGUCCUUGACUGACGCUGAGGCGCGAAAGCGUGGGGAGCAAACAGG
rnacentral:rRNA from 1 species